rnacentral:ncRNA from 1 species
ACAUAAGCUGUGAUGAAGAGGAAAAUAUUUUGUGGAUUGACUUAAGAGAGCCAAUAUAAGGUGUAAGUUGGCGUUGAUUUAAAUAUUGUUUAUCACUUCGGAGCUUCCAAGUAGAAAGGUUUUUCCAAGUAAACAAGGACGUAUACCAGCGAUAUAUGGUUUGGGUUUGUAAGUAAAUAUCACAAGUUUAUUGAAUAAUGACCUGAAUGAGAGGCAGCUGAUACAUAUAGUUGCAAAUAAGGUGGUACCACGGAAAGUUAAUCUUUCGUUCUUAUA